CCUGUGAGGUGGAUGGAUUAUCAAGAUGCUGAUUAGACAGCAUGAUUAUUGCAAAGGUGUGCGUUAGGCUGGCCAAUAUAAAAGGCCACCCUAAAAUGUGCAGUUUUAUUGUAUUGUAGAGGUCCGGGGGGGUCUGAAAACCAGGCAGUAUCUGGUGUGACCACCAUUUGCCUCACGCAGUGCAACAUAUCUCCUUCACAUAGAGUUGAUCAGGUUGUUGAUUGUGGCCUGUGGAAUGUUG